CAGCUCUCCGAGUGGUGGGGACGAUUAUUGGGCUUAAAGCGUUCGUAGCCGGCUUAACAAGUCUUCCGUUAAAUCCAACGAUCUAAUCGUUGGUCUGCGGGAGAUACUGUUGGGCUAGGAGGCGGGAGAAGCCGACGGUAUUCUCGGGGUAGGGGUGAAAUCCUGUAAUCCCGGGAGGACCACCAGUGGCGAAGGCGGUCGGCUAGAACGCGCUCGACGGUGAGGGACGAAAGCUGGGGUAGCGAACCGGAUUAGAGACCCGAGUAGUCC
rnacentral:rRNA from 1 species